AAGAAACCAUGCCCGGCCGCCUCCAUGCCCCGCUAUGCCCGCCUCCCAAGAAGCCCUGCCCGCCUCCCAAGAAGCCAUGCCCGCCGGUUCCCAAGUAGCUACAUCCUUCAAUUCCAAAGCUACCUCCCUUGAAGCAAAUAUUUCUCCUUGUACCAUCCUCACCCCAAGUUCAAGUUCCCUCCUAUCCACAUGAAACAACCUCCUCCAAUCCCCAAGCCACCUCCAAUCCCUUAUACCAUCCAUACCCCAUUCCCUCCUAGUCACAAGAAGCCACUUCCUCCUUUUCCAAAGCUCCCUCCCUUUCACAUCCUCAUCCAAAGUUCCAGUUCCCUCCCAAGCCAAAAUUCUACAACAAGAAGCCUCCAAUAUUAAUUCUUUCCACCAGUCAAGGAGUACCAGAUAACGAAAACAAAUUUGGAAGCUAGUUGUGGCAUCGUUUCUUGAUACUUUAUGGUUGGUUAGUUACCCUUCCUGUUUUGAGGAUUUCCCUUAUCAGUUAGUGGUGUAAUAAAGCUCGUCCUUAAGAUUGUUUCGAGUCUUGGGCAGGGUGACCGUCACCCAUUUGUAUUGGAUGA
rnacentral:lncRNA from 1 species